rnacentral:tRNA from 1 species
GGCAGUGUAGCUUAGUGGUAAAGCGCCUACCCUCUCAAGGUAGGAGGAUAACCGUUUGAUUCGGUUCACUGCCACCA